GAUGAACGCUGGCGGCGUGCCUAAUACAUGCAAGUCGAGCGAACAGACGAGGAGCUUGCUCCUCUGACGUUAGCGGCGGACGGGUGAGUAACACGUGGAUAACCUACCUAUAAGACUGGGAUAACUUCGGGAAACCGGAGCUAAUACCGGAUAACAUGUUGAACCGCAUGGUUCAACAGUGAAAGUCGGUUUUGCUGUCACUUAUAGAUGGAUCCGCGCCGCAUUAGCUAGUUGGUAAGGUAACGGCUUACCAAGGCAACGAUGCGUAGCCGACCUGAGAGGGUGAUCGGCCACACUGGAACUGAGACACGGUCCAGACUCCUACGGGAGGCAGCAGUAGGGAAUCUUACGCAAUGGGCGAAAGCCUGACGGAGCAACGCCGCGUGAGUGAAGAAGGUCUUCGGAUCGUAAAACUCUGUUAUUAGGGAAGAACAAAUGUGUAAGUAACUAUGCACGUCUUGACGGUACCUAAUCAGAAAGCCACGGCUAACUACGUG
rnacentral:rRNA from 1 species